AUUGAACGCUGGCGGCAGGCCUAACACAUGCAAGUCGAACGGUAACAGGAAGAAGCUUGCUUCUUUGCUGACGAGUGGCGGACGGGUGAGUCAUGUCUGGGAAACUGCCUGAUGGAGGGGGAUAACUACUGGAAACGGUAGCUAAUACCGCAUAACGUCGCAAGACCAAAGAGGGGGACCUUCGGGCCUCUUGCCAUCGGAUGUGCCCAGAUGGGAUUAGCUAGUAGGUGGGGUAACGGCUCACCUAGGCGACGAUCCCUAGCUGGUCUGAGAGGAUGACCAGCCACACUGGAACUGAGACACGGUCCAGACUCCUACGGGAGGCAGCAGUGGGGAAUAUUGCACAAUGGGCGCAAGCCUGAUGCAGCCAUGCCGCGUGUAUGAAGAAGGCCUUCGGGUUGUAAAGUACUUUCAGCGGGGAGGAAGGGAGUAAAGUUAAUACCUUCGCUCAUUGACGUUACCCGCAGAAGAAGCACCGGCUAACUCCGUG
rnacentral:rRNA from 1 species